UUUCAAGACGUUCAGACGCGGAGCGGCGGACGCCGAAACAACCGAAUCCACUCUCUUCUCAUUUGGUCUUUUUUUUUUUUUUCUCUCUCUCCCCGACAGAGAGAGAGAGAGGGAGAGAGGGAGAGAGAGAAAGAGCAUCAGACCUUCAAUUGACUCUGGAACGAUGGCGGCUUUUAGGGUUUUGUAGAGAUAUUUGAGUUCUAUCUAUGGAAAUGCCCGGGAGGCGAUCCAAUUACACUCUGCUGAGUCAAUAUCCUGAAGAACAGCAAGCACAGCUGCAGCAGCCAUCCAAGUUCUCUGUGGCGGGUGGUAGUGCAGGUGCAGCGCCAGUGACGUUCUACGAGUCUUUGUCUGCGGAGAAGAACAAAGGGAAGACGGAGAGGGGGUUCGAUUGGGAUGGAGAUCAUCGACUGCAGCAAGGGGGAGGACGGAUCGGGAGUAUGUUUCCGUCGAUCGGAUUGCAGAGGCAGUCGAGUGGGAGUAGUUUUGGGGAGAGCUCGUUGUCGGGGGAUUAUUACAACCAGCCGCUAUCUGUGGUAGCGAAUGAUCAGGAAGUUUUCGGUCAAUUGCAGGAAGAUGGAUUUAAGGUUGGUGGUGGAGAGUCGAGGCUGAAAGUGGUGGAAGCGGGAGGAUCUUCUUCGUCCAAGAGCUGGGCUCAGCAGACUGAGGAGAGUUAUCAGUUGCAGCUGGCGUUGGCGCUUCGGCUUUCAUCAGAAGCCACUUGUGCUGAUGAUCCCAAUUUCUUGGAUCCCGUCCCUGAUGAAUCCGCUCUCAGGUCUUCUUCUUCCUCGGCAGAGGCUAUGUCUCAUCGAUUCUGGGUGAAUGGUUGCUUAUCUUACUUUGACAAGAUUCCGGAUGGAUUUUAUGUGAUUCAUGGAAUGGAUCCUUAUGUAUGGACAGUUUGCUCUGAUCUCCAAGAGACUGGUCGGAUCCCAUCUAUUGAAUCACUCAAGGGUGUUGAUUCUUGUGAUGGUUCAUCAAUUGAAGUGAUUUUAAUUGAUAAACGCGGUGAUCCUGGUUUGAGAGAGCUACAAAGUAGGGUACAGAACCUUUCCUGUAGCUGCAUUACUAAAAAGGAAAUGGUUGAUCAGCUUGCAAGGCUUGUCUGCCAUCACAUGGGGGGUGCAGCUUCUACAGGAGAAGAUGGUUUCCUUUCAAACUGGAAGGACUGCAGUGAGGUUUUAAAGGAUUGUUUAGGUUCUGUUGUGUUUCCACUGGGAAGUCUAUCAUUUGGCCUUUGCAGACAUCGUGCUCUUCUGUUCAAAGUGUUAGCAGACACAAUUGACUUACCUUGCCGGGUUGCUAAAGGUUGCAAAUAUUGUAGGAGAGAUGAUGCCUCCUCCUGUCUUGUGCGGUUUGGUCCUGACAGGGAAUACUUGGUUGAUUUGAUUGAAAAGCCUGGUUGCUUAUGCGAGCCUGAUUCUUUGCUCAAUGGUCCAUCUUCCAUCUCAAUUUCUUCACCUCUACGUCUUCCAAAGUUCAGAACACCUGAAACUACCGAGAAUUUCAGGUCCUUGGCAAAACAGUAUUUCUUGGACUGUCAAUCACUUAAUCUCGUAUUUGAUGAUUCUUCAGCAGAUGCUGCUGCUGAUAAAGAAGAUGUUACAAAUCCACAAUUUCCUAGGAACACUGAUACGGGCAAUCCAUUGAUUCCUUCAAAUAACAAUAAUGAAGUAUUUGUCUCACCUCUUCCACAAGAUGCCUGGUUAAAUACUCAUGAACUGACACAAAAUUUGUAUAAUCCUCCUCUCAAUGUUGGAAGUUCAAAACCUCCCAUCCCACUAAAUCGUAUCCAUCCAAAUGUUCUGGCCUUACCUGAGACUAAAUUCACUGAGAGAGGUCAACUACUAGCAAGUAAAUCUAAUGAACUUUCUCUUGAUGUGGAGGACUUUGAGAUUCCAUGGAGUGAUCUUGUUUUGAAGGAGAGAAUUGGAGCAGGUUCCUUUGGAAUUGUCCAUCGUGCUGAUUGGCAUGGUUCGGAUGUUGCUGUGAAGAUUCUCAUGGAACAAGAUUUUCAUGCAGAGCGCUUCAAGGAAUUUUUGAGGGAGGUUGCAAUUAUGAAACGCCUCCGACAUCCAAAUGUUGUUCUUUUCAUGGGGGCUGUUACCCAACCCCCAAACUUGUCCAUAGUCACAGAAUAUUUAUCAAGAGGCAGCUUAUACAGGCUAUUGCAUAGGCCAGGUCCAAGAGAGAUGUUGGAUGAGAGACGUCGGUUAAAUAUGGCCUAUGAUGUGGCAAAGGGAAUGAAUUAUCUUCACCGACGGAAUCCUCCCAUUGUUCAUCGAGACUUGAAGUCUCCAAAUCUUUUGGUGGAUAAAAAAUAUACAGUAAAGGUAUGUGAUUUUGGCCUUUCCCGAUUUAAGGCAAACACCUUUCUCUCAUCCAAAUCAGCUGCAGGGACUCCUCAAUGGAUGGCACCAGAAGUUCUUCGUGAUGAGCCAUCAAAUGAGAAAUCUGAUGUUUACAGUUUUGGUGUAAUCUUGUGGGAGCUUGUGACACUACAACAACCUUGGAGCAAUUUAAAUCCAGCCCAGGUUGUAGCAGCUGUUGGCUUUAGAGGCAAAAGGCUUGAGAUUCCAAGUGAUGUAAAUCCUCAAGUAGCGUCCUUGAUUGAGGCCUGCUGGGCCAACGAGCCCUGGAAACGCCCCUCUUUUUCUAGUAUCAUGGAAUCCUUGAAGCCAUUGGUGAAACCCCCAGCACCUCAACCCAUUCGUGCAGACAUUCCACGACUAACUUGAAGAAGUCAAAUGGGCACAUGCCGGUAUGCUUUUUUAUGAUCUGAUGGGUGACAGAGUCUCUUAUUCUCCUAGACUGCAGGUUCACCGGGCUCUAGUGGGCAUUUCCUUUUUCCAUUCUGAGAAAAGAGGACUCUUAACUUGGGCUAGGGGAACUACCACCAGAUCACAUCUUACUGGACAGUGUCUGCCAAACACCAUCUUUACCAUCUCCUGAAGAUAUUGAUCUUACGUGUUGAUUCUGCACUUGCCUACACAUAAUUUUUGUAUGUAUCAUUGCUCUGUAAUUAAAUUUUAAAAACAAACAAGUUCAAGGAAACCAAAUAUGCCUUCCCCAGCGGAAGCAAUACCGCUUCAGCAUUCUUUGUGUAGAAUUUGCAGUUUGGCUAUAUAGGCCGGCCUCUGUUGAUAUUCCCCGUGUGUUAGUGAUUGAAUUGAUGGCCUAUGUUGACAAAAUGCAAAACAGAACAUGCUAUGGCAGAGUUUUUUACAUGGAACGCAAAACAGCUCCUGAUUAUUAUUAUUA